UAGGAAAUUCAGGAGGAUGGAUGAGUGAUUUAGUUAUUAAAAGUGAUUAAUUACAAUAUUACGGUUAGAAUCUGGAGAAUCAGGAGAAAGUAUACAGGAGUUGUAGAAGUUAAUUAAGGAGCCAUCACUGUAAUAGUGUGAGCCAGGAUAAGCUUGGUGCUACUUCUUUUGUUUUGUUUGUUAUUUUCUUUGAAUAAGAGGAUUGAAAGUUUCUGAAUAUUGUGAAGUGAAUUAUGGAAUGGAAAUGUGAUUGGUAUUAUUUGAGAAGAAGAAAGAUUGAAUGCUGAAAUCUAAUUGUAGUUCAGUAGAGAGAAUGAGUCUGUGUUUGUGUGAAACUCUGUAAUGUGAAUGGCAGUUUUGUGUGAAAAAUUUCAAUGAUUGGAACGAGGGUAAUUGUAUGCUGAAAGCUGUGAGGGUGCAAUAUUAUAGUUGGAGAUUAUGAAGGUGAAUAUAUUGGUGGAAAUAGCAGUUAUUGGUAUGACUGAAUUGCUGUAAGAAAGAGACCGAUAAGGUGAAGGAGGAGAUUAUAGUUUCCUUGUGUAUUCAGAUAUUGGAAAUAGAGAUGAUACAUUCAGGAGGUAAUUGAUUGUGUGAUCUUAACGUGAGCGCUU
rnacentral:lncRNA from 1 species